AGUGAACGCUGGCGGUAGGCCUAACACAUGCAAGUCGAACGGCAGCACAGUAAGAGCUUGCUCUUACGGGUUGCGAGUGGCGGACGGGUGAGGAAUACAUCGGAAUCUACUUUUUCGUGGGGGAUAACGUAGGGAAACUUACGCUAAUACCGCAUACGCCCUACGGGUGAAAGCAGGGGAUCUUCGGACCUUGCGCGAUUGAAUGAGCCGAUGUCGGAUUAGCUAGUUGGCGGGGUAAAGGCCCACCAAGGCGACGAUCCGUAGCUGGUCUGAGAGGAUGAUCAGCCACACUGGAACUGAGACACGGUCCAGACUCCUACGGGAGGCAGCAGUGGGGAAUAUUGGACAAUGGGCGCAAGCCUGAUCCAGCCAUACCGCGUGGGUGAAGAAGGCCUUCGGGUUGUAAAGCCCUUUUGUUGGGAAAGAAAAGCAGCAGGUUAAUACCCCGCUGUUCUGACGGUACCCAAAGAAUAAGCACCGGCUAACUUCGUG
rnacentral:rRNA from 1 species